rnacentral:lncRNA from 1 species
CUGUUUCACUCAAAGUAUAUUCUGAAAAACAAUGUCCAACCGAAGGGGGAGAUCCUACAAAAAGAUAGAAAAAUAGCCCAUAUUUGUUCCAUUAUCAUUCCAGCACCAACCAAAACUCCUAAAUUUAUUAAGAUUCAACAAGUAACCUUCCAAAUUACGAGAGGACAACAAUUUGGCAAUAAAGGAACAGAACUUUAGAACAACUUACCUCAUUUUUCCGUGAGAAGGCGAAGUGCACGCACUAGAAGAACGGGCCCUGCUUCCCAUGAGAAAAAAACCGGAUAAAAAAACCACCGGUGCCUUUUAACGGCUUCUCUCCUCUUCUUCUUCUCUACAUCUGUGAGACGACCGAGCAUUGGGAAUGAGAUGUGGGGGUAGACUUUUCUAGGCCAUGACGGCAGAUUUCGUAAGGGAAGAGCUCGAUGGAGAGAGGCCGGGAAGAAGAGGCGCGGCGUCCUCA